GAUGAACGCUGGCGGCGUGCUUAACACAUGCAAGUCGAGCGAUGAAGUUUCCUUCGGGAAACGGAUUAGCGGCGGACGGGUGAGUAACACGUGGGUAACCUGCCUCAUAGAGUGGAAUAGCCUUCCGAAAGGAAGAUUAAUACCGCAUAACGUUGAAAGAUGGCAUCAUCAUUUAACCAAAGGAGCAAUCCGCUAUGAGAUGGACCCGCGGCGCAUUAGCUAGUUGGUGGGGUAACGGCCUACCAAGGCGACGAUGCGUAGCCGACCUGAGAGGGUGAUCGGCCACAUUGGGACUGAGACACGGCCCAGACUCCUACGGGAGGCAGCAGUGGGGAAUAUUGCACAAUGGGGGAAACCCUGAUGCAGCAACGCCGCGUGAGUGAUGAAGGUUUUCGGAUCGUAAAGCUUCUGUCUUUGGGGAAGAUAAUGACGGUACCCAAAGGA
rnacentral:rRNA from 1 species